UUCGUGGAAAAUAACAUUCACACAGAAUGACCUAUCUUUGUGGAUCUGUAAUUCGGGAGUCAUCCACUUGUCGUGGACGGUGAAAAGCCCAACAAAGGCCCUAUUCUUCUAUGUGAUGAUGAGGAGUCUGAGAGGAAUGUGAAAUCCAUGGGAAAAAUAUUCUUGAAGAUUUUGAUUAUCCCACGAAUGUUCAUAUCGGAGAAGAUGUUUAUUUUUGAAGGAAAAGAAGGAUUGGAAAGCCUUUUGGAGGUGACAAUAUGAAGAAGAUCAGUCCUGGAAUUUGUAGGUUCUGUCUAAGAAACACAUUUAGUAUUCAAGUUGGAAGAUGAGGAACCUUUACUUACGGAGAAAGAAGAAUGGGAAUAGAAUAUUGAUAAUCAUUUUGUCGAUAUGGACAUGUGAACCAUGGAAGUACAAGUUGGAUUUACAAUUUCACCUAUUUCGGUAAUAUAGAGUGAAAAAGCUAUUAGAUAUCGAAGAGGGGAUUGAUGAAAAUAUUUUAGAGAUUCGCCAUCACAAUAUUGAUGGCUUCAGAGAUUAUGAUAUAUACAAUGAUCCUCCUUUUUAUGGAGAAGGAUAUCUGUGGGAUUUAAACUACCCAAAUGUCAACGUGAUUUUGUUUCCUCGUCGUGGAGUAUUUGAGUUCGUAUGGAAAGUAUUAUUGGAGAUGUAACUCUUGAAAGAUUAAGAGAUCCCCUAUCUACUAGUGUGGGAGGAUGCAUAAUCUCACAUCCACCUUGCUUAAAAAAAAACCAACAUAGUAUUUCUUCAGUUAUUUCUGAAGAUGUUUCAAAAGUAUCAGCCUAUAAUUAGUUCUACAUUAAGUUUGCUACUUAAUUGUGCAGCCGUGUUCCAGAAAUGUUAGGCGGACAUUCCUUUCUGCAUAGAAGAAUGAUGCCCACCCCCCAUUUCAUAAACAUGGCUUCCUAGUUAAGAACAAAAUUGGAAAGUCUGUGAUUACAUGCCAACAAUGUGGGAAGGGCAUCAAAAAUGCUUUAAGAAACACUAUGGUGAUCGGGUUUUUCCCAUUCCAGGUGGGUUGGGAUAAUACAUCUUCCCUUACUCUCAGAUAUGAGCUCUCUAGACCUGUCAAGAGUUAUAUAUCUAGUAAUUUUGUUCCACAUGAACACAAGGCCUCCAUGUUAAUGAGAAUAUAUUCUCUUUGGAACUUUGGGAACUAAAUCCUACAUGACUCCUUCGCCAUAAAUAGGAAAAUCUCGUGUUGUAGAAGAAUCUGAAACUCUGAAGGCGUCAACAUCCAAGAGUAAUGGAGACUCUCAAAAAAAAUUCUUGAGUACCUCCAUCGAGUUCUCUAAGCAUGUAGAUGAUAUAUAAGUUCAAAAAUUUAAGAUGGAAAAAAAAUGGAGAGCAAAGUUCACAAAAUAUUGGAAAAGAAAAGUUCUUCAUAGGACAUAUGAACAAUAAAUAAACAGAUGUGUCAAUUUGUGACAUUCACUCUGCAGCAGUAAAAUUGGUGGAUUUGUAAAGCCAAUAUGUGAUUGCAAGACAUACAUGUCCAUUUCAACAAAAAAGAUCUUCAACUUUCUUUUUUCCCCAUUCUUCUUUCUCCAUGAGAAGAGGUUCCUUGUCUUCAAAUAAAAAUAUUAACUACUUUAUGUACUUGUAUUUUAAUCUUGAGUUAUAGUUCUUAGACAUCGAAACUCAAACAAAUACUUUACUAUCAACUCAUUCAGUUGUAUUUGUUAUCCCAAACUGAUUAUGUCUUCUUAAGUCUUUUGGCCCAAUAAGAAAAUAUCACCAAAAUUUGUUGUCGGCA